GAAUUCACAAAGGUGGACUAAAGUUAUACCCGGGGUAUAAAACGCGUCAUUUGACGUCAUUUUAAUCCAUGGACUAAAGUUAGUACCUAGGUACUAACUUUUGCGAUUCACAAAGGUGGACUAAAGUUAUACCGGGGUAUAAAACGCGUCAUUUGACGUCACGAUUUAGUCAGCUCUUUGGGGUGGACUAAAUCGGUGGAUUAAAGUUAGUCCACGGUUUUAACCAAUCAGAGAGCAGCAUUGCGGUUGCAGAAAAGUUUGCUGCAAGAAAAAAGUUUUUUGGACGGAGACGAGAUUCGGUGUGAUCGGCUUAUCUAAAGCUUAAAAUUUCACGACUUCGACCGAGAUUAAACAGACCAUACUCGGCAGAUUGUGAUCAAUCAAAACGACAAACAUGGCUCACAUUUUUGAACUGCUGUGCCUUCUUGCAACAGAGUGAGAUUCAGCAACACAUAGGAAGACCACAGCAUGGAUUAAGAGACAGGAAGAAUCCAUUUGAAUGCUACAAGGAUGAACCUUUCAGAGUGGGCUACCAACAGAGAGAAACGACACAUUGCCUGACAUGUUACAUGUUUUGACAGGACUUUGUUUUUAUGCCAUUGGUACCUUUUAGAAGAUGCAAGCAGACAAAGCAACUAUAUCAUAGUCAUCCGUGUGCAGAAUCAUCAAAGAUUUUUCUGAGGCAAUGGCAAGGAGUAACAGUUAAUGAAGUGUCCGAUGACGAGAAAUUCAAACCACCCAGCGACAAUUUGAUGAUUGCUACAGGUUUCCAAGAGUCGUAGGUGCUAUCGAUUGGGGCCAUGUCUACAUCAGGAGUCCUGAUGGGGAACAAGCCCUGUACUUAGCAGGAAGAACAGGUCUUCUGUAAAUGUAUAGGUAUCCGUUGCUCCUCUCUUUGAUGAAUUCCUGCCUGCAUUCUGUUGUCAAUAGAAAAGGACCAUGUGCUUCGGGUAUUAAGCAUUCCAUUGGAUUAUCUGUGUAUGAAAGUGGACACUUGUGAUCACAAAAUGGUAGCUUAGUUGAUAGGAUGUAUUCAUGCAUUCCGAUUUAUCAUUAGUGAUCAAAUGACCAUCUUGCUUUUAAAAACCCAAAUUCACAACAUUUUUCUUGUUUGGCAAAAGGUUUGGGAUGUGAAUUCCAGGAAAUAAAUGACACACACGAUGGGCUAAUGUAUAAGCAGGGAUGUGAGAGGUAUAAGCAACAUUUUGCUCAUGCUUAACUAAGUUUGGCAUGAGAUGGUCUUGGUCAUUCUUAUGAUUCAAGUCUAUUUUUAUACCAUUU
rnacentral:lncRNA from 1 species